rnacentral:rRNA from 1 species
AUUGAACGCUGGCGGCAGGCCUAACACAUGCAAGUCGGACGGUAGCACAGAGGAGCUUGCUCCUCGGGUGACGAGUGGCGGACGGGUGAGUAAUGUCUGGGGAUCUGCCCGAUAGAGGGGGAUAACCACUGGAAACGGUGGCUAAUACCGCAUAACGUCGCAAGACCAAAGAGGGGGACCUUCGGGCCUCUCACUAUCGGAUGAACCCAGAUGGGAUUAGCUAGUAGGCGGGGUAACGGCCCACCUAGGCGACGAUCCCUAGCUGGUCUGAGAGGAUGACCAGCCACACUGGAACUGAGACACGGUCCAGACUCCUACGGGAGGCAGCAGCGGGGAAUAUUGCACAAUGGGCGCAAGCCUGAUGCAGCCAUGCCGCGUGUAUGAAGAAGGCCUUCGGGUUGUAAAGUACUUUCAGCGGGGAGGAAGGCGAUGUGGUUAAUAACCGCAUUGAUUGACGUUACCCGCAGAAGAAGCACCGGCUAACUCCGUGCCAGCAGCCGCGGUAA